GAGUUUGAUUCUGGCUCAGGAUGAACGCUGGCGGCGUGCUUAACACAUGCAAGUCGAACGGACCUGAUUUUUAGCACAAAUUGCUUAUGCCUAUCAGCAUGGGCGGAUGCGGACCUUUUGUCCAUACGAAAGAACAUCCGUCUACGCGUAAAAAGCGUGAUAAACCAUGCAAGCAGAACGGAAAGUAAUGAGUGAUUUGUGCUGAAAAUCAGGUUAGUGGCGGACGGGUGCGUAACACGUGGGCAACCUGCCCUGCUUUUCGGAAUAACGCCGGGAAACCGUCGCUAAUGCCGAAUGAUAUGAGGAGAAGGCAUCUUCUUUUCAUCAAAGAAUUUCGAAGCAGGAUGGGCCCGCGCCGGAUUAGCUGGUUGGUGAGGUAACGGCUCACCAAGGCGACGAUCCGUAGCCGACCUGAGAGGGUGAUCGGCCACACUGGAACUGAGACACGGUCCAGACUCCUACGGGAGGCAGCAGUGGGGAAUAUUGCACAAUGGGCGAAAGCCUGAUGCAGCAACGCCGCGUGAGCGAUGAAGGCUUUCGAGUCGUAAAGCUCUGUCGCAGGGGAAGAAAAAGACGUACCCUGGAGAAGCCCCG
rnacentral:rRNA from 1 species